rnacentral:rRNA from 1 species
UCCGGGAUCACUUACGCCGAGCACCGAGACGAGUCAUAUGAGGACGAAGUGACUGACACCACGCUUCCAGGAAAAGCCACUAAGCUUCAGCUUAAGAAAAACCGUACCGCAAACCGACACAGGUAGGCAGGGUGAGAAUCCCAAGGCGCUUGAGAGAACUCGGGUGAAGGAACUAGGCGAAAUGGCACCGUAACUUCGGGAGAAGGUGCGCCCUUUGGUGUGGUCACGUGCGUGACUGAGCAUCGAAGGGUCGCAGUAACCUGGCCGCUGCGACUGUUUAUCAAAAACACAGCACUCUGCAAACACGAAAGUGGACGUAUAGGGUGUGACGCCUGCCCGGUGCUGGAAGGUUAAUUGAUGGGGUCAGCCGCAAGGCGAAGCUCUUGAUCGAAGCCCCAGUAAACGGCGGCCGUAACAAUAACGGUCCUAAGGUAGCGAAAUUCCUUGUCGGGUAAGUUCCGACCUGCACGAAUGGCGUAACGACAGCGGCGCUGUCUCCACCCGAGACUCAGUGAAAUUGAAAUCGCUGUGAAGAUGCAGCGUUCCCGCGGCAAGACGGAAAGACCCCGUGAACCUUUACUAUAGCUUUACACUGAACGUUGAGUUCUUCCGUGUAGGAUAGGUGGGAGGCUAUGAAACCAGGACGCUAGUUCUGGUGGAGCCAUCCUUGAAAUACCACCCUGAAGUGCUUGACGUUCUAACCUAGGCCCGUAAUCCGGGUCAGGGACCGUGUAUGGUGGGUAGUUUGACUGGGGCGGUCUCCUCCCAAAGAGUAACGGAGGAGCACGAAGGUACGCUCAGCGCGGUCGGACAUCGCGCACUGUGUGCAAAGGCAUAAGCGUGCUUGACUGCGAGAUCGACGGAUCAAGCAGGUACGAAAGUAGGUCUUAGUGAUCCGGUGGUUCUGUAUGGAAGGGCCAUCGCUCAACGGAUAAAAGGUACUCCAGGGAUAACAGGCUGAUACCGCCCAAGAGUUCAUAUCGACGGCGGUGUUUGGCACCUCGAUGUCGGCUCAUCACAUCCUGGGGCUGUAGCCGGUCCCAAGGGUAUGGCUGUUCGCCAUUUAAAGUGGUACGCGAGCUGGGUUCAGAACGUCGUGAGACAGUUCGGUCCCUAUCUGUCGUGGGCGUUGGAGAUUUGAGGGGGGCUGCUCCUAGUACGAGAGGACCGGAGUGGACGUUCCGCUGGUGUUCGGGUUGUCAUGCCCAUGGCAUUGCCCGGUAGCUACGAACGGAAGUGAUAACCGCUGAAAGCAUCUGAGCGGGAAGCACGCCCCAAGAUGAGAUCUCCCGAGAGCUUGACUCUCCUAAAGGCACCAUCAAGACUAGGUGGUUGAUAGGUCAGGUGUGGAAGCGCAGCAAUGCGUUGAGCUAACUGAUACUAAUGAGCCGUGAGGCUUGACC